CCACCACUGUGGCACUUAUGACAUCACACUGUCAUUGUUUACUUAAAAUGCCUCCUUCACUAAAGGGCAGCCAGUGUGUCAGACUUCUUUCCUGCUGAAUUCCCGGCAAAAGGCCUGGCACAGGGUAAAUGGCCAAAAAAUGUUUGUUGAUUAACCUAAAAGAUCAGCUUUUGCCCUAGGGGUUAGCAUCAAACACCAUGGGCCCUGCUACUGAAAGCACUGAUUGCAGCUCACUCUAGGCCACCUAUCUCCUCCCUUUGACUUUUUAGAAAGGUCUGUUCUCUACCAGAUUUUCUUGGAACAUAAUAUUCUUCGCACUUUAAGAUUCUCAGGAUUCGGUUUCUUAUUACUGGUGCCAUCUUCUGCUGUUGCAUUUCCUGACAGCCUUUUUACUGGUUGUCAGUUCGAAUGCAGACAUCGUGUCUCCUCCGGCCAACCUUGACCCCAGGCACUAAAAGUGGCUUGGCCUUGUUGUGGAUCUGUAUCAGGCCCCAGCCCCUGCGUGUGCUCAUCUCUGGAUAUCAAAGCUCUCUGAAAACAAGCCCAACCACUUGCAGUGUUUGUUCCAUCCAUUCUGCAGGAAUGGGAGCCUCCCUUAGUACCUUUACCAAAAGAAAGCUGGCCAGAUGACUACCCUUGGCCAUGUCCACAAGAACAGGCUGUAUGUGAAUUUUUACAGCCUCCUCCCAUUAUCACUAGGGGGCCUUGACUUUCCUCCAGCCUAAAAGACUGAUGGAGUUCAUCCUGCAACCUGCGGAGAAAUAUGGCCACACCAUACAGCGGCCCAACCCCAGGAAAGUGCAGGUUUGGCUGCUUUCCCCACCUGGUGCGAAGCUCUGGCGCCUUGGCUCUCUGGGUGAACUGGUGGCAAAUUCUACCACAGCUUCAAAAUCCCCAACUCAAUGGUGCCCUAAUUUGGGGUAACAAGAGACUUAAGCAUAGGCUUGAAGGCUUGAGAGACACAGCCAUCUAGAGCCGGAGCCUGGAACAUGUCACUGCUGAAAUGCAGGGCGGCAGGAACCAGCCCUGUUUCUGUUGCCGCCACCAGGCCUGCUCCUGUGGUCAGGGAGGGGAAAAGGGCGGUUAACACGAUGGAGAGCACCCAGCCGGUCCUAGGGACUGGCCACGCCUGACGCCCACAGGUCCCUCUUGGCGGGUCCUACCCCAGGCCAGAGAGCCCAGGCUCUUUGAGUCCUGUUACCCCCUCCCUCUGGAGGCCACUAAGUGGAUUUUAAAUCCUUACUCCUCACUUUUUCCUUUCCUCCUCCUCGAGUUCUUCACUUAGUAGUGACCACCCAGGCACCAGGCUCUUGAACAUUCUGGUCAGCUGCUGUUCUCUGAAGCAUGAGUCACUGCAUGACACAGGACAUUCUCGCUGGGCAAGGGGGCUCCCAAGGCCUGCCUCACCAAGGGCCCUGUUUUCCGACAGAAACUUUUCAUUCCAUAGGAAAUGAGGUCACACACCAAGAGCACACGGGUAACCGUAUAUACAACAUACAUGAUUUUACUAAGCCAAACUUGCAGGGCAUUUGGCUAGCUUACUUUCAAGACUUGGAGCCCCUUAAUCUACGGCCUACAGGAGACCAACACACAGGAGGAGAUCAAAGCGCUGAAGCCACAAACACAGCUCAGAACUCCGAGGCCCUGCGGCCAACAUCCCCCCUCCCGCGGCUCCUCCCCGCGCCAGGAGCCCUCCUCCUCCCCACUCCCACCCCUCGUGCACCGCCCUGCAGGGUCCCUCCUCCCCUCCACCAGCCCUGCUUCUCUAUGUUCCCCCCACCCCCGAACCCCCAAUCCAGCGGGCCGGGACUUUCGGGGCGGGCUGCCAUCCGGCCUUCUCCGACCCGGGAAAGUGCCCUCCUCGCCACCGGCCGCGCCCCUCCCCACCGGGAGAAGAUAUUUCUCGCCAUAAUUAAAGUCAUUAAGCCUCCAAAGGCUCCCGUCGGCUGCAGGUUCUGAGUUCCGGAACGAAGAUGAUGCAUUUUAAGUCCUAGUUAAGAUUAUGCUGAUCUAUUUAGGAGACAUGUAGCAGCGAGAAUUCAGCGGUUAAGUUAGUGGUUAAGGCUGCCUAAGUUUAAAUAGUGUUACUUAUUCUCAAAAUAUGUAGCAGCCCCACUUAAUUUCUCCUAAUUAAAGGUACCCGACUUUAGAGGCUGGAGUCCGCGGCCGGGUCGCGGCGCCAUUGCACAGGUUGGUACCCUUUUCACAAUCAGAAACUAGUGGGUGUCAAACGGAAAUGCAUUUCCCUAGAUCUUAAUCUUAAACAUAGACGUUUAGGCCAGUUCCAAGAAACACAAUGAUCCUCUUUGUUUUAACACCUGACAAGGAGCACCAAAAACCCAGGAAAGCCUGUCCACACCCUCCUGCUCCAUCGAUACUGUGGGGUGAAAGAUGUUACGGAAAAAACCGCAGUUGGGUUGUUUCAUUACCUGCCUAUGCCUGGAAGAUAAGCUUUUGGAAGAACCUGGAAGUCGUUAUCUUGGUUGAGUUUCCAGAAGUCCCACUUCAGGCCAAAUCUUAUAUAGUCCGCAACUAGAAACUUCAAAAAGGACCACCCCCCUUCAAUGCAUAUGGCAACUAAUUAAUAUAAACAAGUGUUAAUUAGGUGGCAGCAUCAGGCUUAACGAGGAACAACAGUGCCUGCAAAGUCUGGACACCCUACAGCCUCUCUGGAGGAUGAGAGGCGGCGGGCAGGCUCUCUCUGAAGGCUGAGUUCCUCACAGGGGCAGCUGUGCUUCUCAACCUUUGCUCACGGAGGAGGCAACU